AGCAAUGACGUAAAAAAUACGCCAAUUACUGUUUGUUGAUUGGCCAUCGACAAAAUGUUUUAUGUAUUAGGUCAUGCAUAAAACAUUUUUUGCAUUCCCAGAAUUCCCUACGAUUUGAGCAAGAAAAUGACGAAAAAUGGCGGUUGUAUGAACUGCGACUUUGAGGUUUUUCAAUUACGAACAAGGACACACUUUUCUUUUAAGUGAAUUUCUAUUAUAAUAGAAGUUUGUCAAGUACAUCUCAGUGAAGCAGAAAAUCUUUGGGCGAACAUUGACAUCGGAGUGAUACCCUAUGAUAUCAAGAAAAAUCCUAUGGAACCAAGAAGCAGAUAAUGACCACAGAGGUGCAACAGAGACUACCAGUACCUGAUCAUCGUAUGUUAUGGUGUAGAUCUCAGGAACAGGACACCUAAGUUGAACUCUGGCAAGGUUGUCCCAAGCUGCAUGGUUUGAUACCCAGGCUUCUUUUGUACAAGUCCCUAGUCCACCCUCAUCUUGAGAUCUGUUCCGGUGUCUGGGAUCCCUACAACAUCUAAGAUGUCCAGGACGCUACUUCACAAUGGGGACCACAAGAGAACCAGCAGUUUGACUGAGAUGAUCAGCACCUUUUAGUUGCCUACUAUAUCUACAACUACAAGGCACUCUGCAAGAAGACUGGGAAUGGUGCAUAAGAUAGUCAAUGGUCUCUCCGCUCUCCCUUGAAAAUUUUCCCACUGCACUACUUAUAGCUACUUGUGCCCUCUAUAUAGCAAACAAUGCCUAAUCGGUGACUGUUGGUCCCCCAUGAUCCUC
rnacentral:lncRNA from 1 species